GGAGAAAUUGCACAGGUAAACUCUACUGAGCCAUUCAGUAAAUUCUACUGAACCACUCUAAUUACCAUUUAAUGAUGACUCUUACAACUGAAUUCAACCAAGAUGAGCAAUACCAUCUGCAUGAUAGCUGGAGAGAAAUUUUGGUUGUGGAUCCAUUUCCUUUAUUUGCUGGAAUAAAAACCCUUUCGUUGAGAAGACUCCACCUAAAGAUUCAGUCUGGAGCACUUCCAAUAAUCAUACUUUCCUGGGCACCCUGAUUUUUUUUUUCUGUAUAACAUUUACUAUUUUCUGUUCUCUGUGUCAUUUCUUAUGGAUGCAUUCACAGUCGCUUUCUUAUAUGAAAUAAAAGUUGGUGUAAUAAAACAGAUCUCAGAGAGGCAUUUUUAACAUGUGGCUGUUUUAGAUAUGGUCCUGGCUGCUUCGAAGCUCUUGGAUGGAGUCCCCAUCCUGAAUUCUCUUAGCGUCAAUCCCCCCGUUGACGGAAUGAGAGCUGCCCACCUCUCACAGUGCUGUUGGAAGGGCCUAUUGGGAUGCCAGUUAGGAAGUCGCUUGGCUAAUCAGAACGUGCUGCAUGAGUAUAAAAUGCUGCAGAGCACCAAAAGAGCAGACCUGAGCACCAAAAGAGAAGAAUGUGUGAACAGCCUUGAACUCUGCAAAGGAAGAGGAGGGACGAAUUCAGGUGGACUUCUGAUAUCUCAUGCUGGAGUUCUCAACACUCAAUGGCUUUAUACAGCAUAAGAGCAAAUUCAUCACCUCUUGUCCAGUUCAAUCGCGGAGAGCCAUGGCAUUGGUAUAUACAACAAAAAAAGACUUAAAAAUUUUCUGCAAUGUAAGUUCAAAGCCUAUGGAGAAAUCAUUCUCAAAGUGU
rnacentral:lncRNA from 1 species